GCCUGGGUAGCUCAAUCGGUUAGAGCAUGGCGCUGCUAAUGCCAAGGUUGCAGGUUUGAUCCCCGUAUGGGACA